GACGAACCGUCCUAACGUUAUUCGGAAUUACUGGGCUUAAAGGGUGCGUAGGCGGCGCGGAAAGUUGGGUGUGAAAUCCCUCGGCUUAACCGAGGAACUGCGCCCAAAACUACCGUGCUUGAGGGAGAUAGAGGUGAGCGGAACUUAGGGUGGAGCGGUGAAAUGCGCAGAUAUCAGGAGGAACACCGGUGGCGAAGGCGGAUCUCUGGGCCUUACCUGACGCUCAGGUGCGAAAGCUAGGGGAGCGAACAGG
rnacentral:rRNA from 1 species